GAUGAAGAACGCAGCGAAAUGCGAUAAGUAGUGUGAAUUGCAGAAUUCAGUGAAUCAUCGAAUCUUUGAACGCACAUUGCGCCUUCUAGUAUUCUGGGAGGCAUGCCUGUCCGAGCGUCAUUGCUGCCCUCAAGCACGGCUUGUGUGUUGGGCCUCCGUCCUCCUCCCGGGGGACGGGCCCGAAAGGCAGCGGCGGCACCGCGUCCGGUCCUCGAGCGUAUGGGGCUUCGUCACCCGCUCUUGUAGGCCCGGCCGGCGCUUGCCGACACAUCAAUCUUUUUUCCAGGUUGACCUCGGAUCAGGUAGGGAUACCCGCUGAACUUAAGCAUAUCAAUAAGCGGAGGA
rnacentral:misc_RNA from 1 species